UAAAAUUUUAUAAAUUAGGUAGUAAAGAAAUUUCUGAAACCUAAAGAAUUUGGCGGUGUUUUAAAUAAUUGGAGGAAUCUGUUAUUUAAUUGAUAAUCCACAACAAAUCUUUCCUUAUUUUUGUUUGUAUAUCAUCAUUUAGAGAUAAUAUUUUAAAAUUAUAGUCAUAAUUAAUAAAAUUAUACAAAUUAGAUCAAGAUGCAGCAUAAUAUGGUUAUAAUGGAUUACAAUAUUAUUUAAAUAUAUACGAAUAAUAUAAAGAAAAUGUAUUUGAAGGAGGAUUCAAAAGUAAUUAGGAAAUAAUAUGUUCUUUUGAAUAAUAAUUUAAAACAUGC
rnacentral:rRNA from 1 species